rnacentral:lncRNA from 1 species
CUAAGUGUGAGAAUAGUUUAAAAUUAAGGCGUUAUUGUUUGUAUUAGUAGCCACGUGGCAUCAUCUCCUCAUCAGAGGUGUACUAUUAUGGAAACCGAACAACUCGUCUCUCUCUGGAAGUAUCUUCCUGUUCUGGACCCUUGAACACCACCUCCACACCACCUCUUGUAUCUGACUGUGUGCUCUGCUGGACGCUGCUGUUCAGUGUGUGUCCGGUGUGUGUUCUCCUCUUCUCCAUCUGUUUGUUCUGCCUCUGUUGUAAGAAAACUACAGAUGCUGUGACAGAUCAAAAAGACAAGUUAAAGGUAGAAAUACAGCUGAGGUAUGUACAGUAUGAAUAUCACAGACUCUCUCUCUCUCUCUCUCUCUCUCCCCCUCAGAGACUGCAGUAGGCCUUCUUUACAAAUACAAGCUUUUCUGAAGAUCCAGGAUUUUAUAAAAAUUGCAUCUAUAACAGUUUACUGCCAUAUUAAAAGUGAUACUAUGUAUAUAUAAUGUAAUAUUUUUGAGUUAUAAGAUUUUUUAAUAACACAGCUAUGUCAUAAGUAUUCAACCCCUAACAUUGCUGUUUUUAAGUAACUUAUUUUUUGUACGGUGGGGAAAAAAUUUGUCUUACAACACAAUUGAGCCUUUAGAAACUCUAAAAAAAACCAGAAUUAGCUUGAGCUGUUACACAUAAACUUAGCCCAUGCAUGUGCUGACUUAUGUAGCAAAUAUGCAAAUUCAACAUAGCUCUCUCAAAAGCUAUGGCAGAAAUAGUUUUAUAACAUUAGAAAGUCUAUGGCUACAUAAAGAUUUCCAAGACAUUAAAAGUUCCUAGAGACACAGCUGGAAGUCUUAUUUAUCCCUUAAUGUGUUGUACCAGAAAACCUUUGAGGGUGUUGAAGAAAAAGCACAAUAUCAUAAUAAAUUUGAUCAGAGCAACUGAGAAAAACCUGCAAUGUAGCCAAAGACUUGCAAGAUGAAAGGAGGAAAAACAUUUCAAUGCAGAGUAUAAGAAGAACACUAGACAGGUAUGGCCUUCGUGUUGUGACAGCCGACUUGAACAUGUUUAAAUUCAUGUGGGUAGACCUGUGGAGUUCUGGAAGAAUGUUUUAUGGAGCGAUAUGACCAAACUGGAACUUUUUGGAUGCAUAGAUCAACCGUAUGUCUGGUACAAAAAAGGCAAAGCUUAUAGACAGAAGAAUGCCAUCUCCAUAAAAAUCAAAGAUUAUCAGUGAUCUGAAAGCGUUAUCCAGUGAGGAAUGAGCCAAGACUGCAGUAGAGAGAUGACAGAACCUGCUAAGCACUAAAAGGCUGCAUUUAUUGGUGGUUUUAAAGAAUAAAAGAUUCGGCACAAAAUUUGACUUUUGGGGGUUGAAAAAUUUUGAACAUGAAUGUUUAGAGCCAAUUAGAUUUUUAGCAUGAUUCAUCAAUGUUACAAUUAACCUUUUUUUUUUUUUUAUUUUUCUAUUUUAGUGCAUGGAUGAAGAGGUGUGUUAUGCAUCUUUAGACGUGAUCACCAAGAGACAAAAACAAACGCAAGGCAAAGCGAGUGCAGAGUUCUGACUUCAGUACUUAUGCUCAGGUCAGAACGUAAACUGAAUAGACCUAAAAUAGAACUGAGGUGGAUUCUAAAACUUUUCAAAUAUUAGAAAAGUUGCAGGUUUCAUUAUAACGUAACUUCACAUGUAAUCAUACAAGGUAGAGGUGUUUCUUCCAUUACAUAAAGUAAAUGGUAUGUUAUUGAAUACUUUAGAUUUUUUAUGAGCUGUAAAGUUGUUAGUCUGAUAUUUGGUUUAGUACAAGUUUUUCCCUCUCUCUAAUAAAAGUACUUUAGCACAGUCUUUGUGGACACACAGUGAUGACCUGAAUAACAGGAUGAAGAAGUGGGUUUCCUGUGUUUAGUGAAGUUUAGUUUAAUGUGUAUAUUUCUCUGAAACUGAAUGACUGCAACAUUUAUCUGAAUUUUACAAUGAGCCCAAUUUCCCCAAAACAUACUCCAUGCUGAGUAGGUUACUGUGUUUGGAAAACAACUUGUGACAUGUGAGCAGGCAGUCUUAAAAUUAUCUUAAUACCAUAAAGAAAAAGACAGAUGCCCACUUUAGUUACUCAUAUGUAGUAAUACACUUUUUUUUGUUUUUCUUUUUUGUUUUUUUCCUUUCAGACUGGUGCAUGGUCGAUCUGCCUAUUUACUAAUUGUACAUUUGAUUGCAAGUUACAAGUACAGUUAAAACCAAAUUGAAAUCAAAUCACACUUGAAUCAAAUAUUCAAAGCAUCAGAUUUUCUCUUCAAAUGAGUUUUACUCAGUUGCACUGUCUGUGUUUUUCUCAAGAAAUGGUCUUGUUUAAUCCUUAGUUAAAAAGAUGUUAAUCUUAACCACAAAUUUUCCAUUCAGUUUAUUGGUUGUAUGCUUAUGAGACAGAAAUAGGUAGGACAGAGGUUGAUGUGUUGAGUUGUUUGUGGUAAAUUUGGUUUGCAUGCAAUGUUUGCAAAAGCCUGACUUACAGGAGCAGCCUUUCUUUAAAUUCUGGUGGAUGAGGAAGUAUCACAUUUAAUGCUUCUCAGAAUGAAGCACAAAGAGCAGGUUUCAGUGUUUGCAAUACAACACUUUGGACAUUUCCGUGUUACUUUGGUAGUGCACACCUCGUGACAACUCACAUGAUGUUCAAUAAUUUGCUUCUUCUACCUGUACAUUUACUUUGUCACUGUAUAUAAUGGAUAUUGAUGUUUUAAAGCAGGGGUGUCAAACUCAGUUCCUGGAGGGAUGGAGCUCUGCAGAGUUUUGUUCCAACCCUGCUCCAACACACAUACCAUGCAGUUUUUUUUUAUUUAAAUAAGACUUGGUUAGACUUGGACUUGGUUGGAUCAGGUGUGUUUAAUUAGGCUUGAAUCUAAACUGUGCAGGGCUCCAGCCUUUUUACUUGAAAAUAGAUCUGUUAUUGUAUUUCUGAAUUGACUCAUUUUUGUUGGUCAAAUCAUUCAGUGUGUUUAGUUUAAGUAGUGGCCAGAGGGGGGCAGUGUGGGUUUGUUUUUUGUAAAAUCUGUGAAAAUGUCUAAAACGUGUCCAAAUGUUUGUUACAUUCCACAUUUAUUUGAAUAAUGUUUAUAAAGCACACAUCUAUGUGAAAGUUACAUAUCAAAUAAAUCAAUUGGUUUAAAUUAAUUCUUCCUAAUUGUGUUUGACAAACCAUUAAAGUCUUAAAAGAUAUAUUAACAAAGAUAAGUAUCAAAAGAACAUAUGAGGCAGGAACAUAUUCAUGUAUUAUUGUUGUUGAUUAUGGUGUGAGUAAGUGGGUAUGUAUGUGUGUUCCUGGGACUAUUAGACAUGUUAUUGAAAUGACCAGCAGGUGGCGCAUAGUUUCUACAAAAACUGUUUUACGCUUCAGUCCAACAUAAAAUCCAUUCCACAUUUUGCAGAAACACUAGUCUGACAGAGAAACCUAAAUUAUAGAGUUAUUAGAGGGUUAUUGCAGUAAUUCUGUUUGUAGCUGAAUUAAGGUGUGGGUGAUAUUAAGACAUUUAGACAAGUCUAUUCACCCAUUUAUGUAAUUAUUAUUCUAUAACUAUAGUAUCUCCACAAUAUCUACUGCAAUAGAUUUUCAAGAAUUUCCUACAUAAUAUUUGGGAUAUUACCGUUAACUAAAACUAAAACUACAAACAUAAAAACAACAACAAAACAAAAAACAUUAUACUUAAAAAUAAAAUGAAUGUUCACUGAAAUAUAAGUAAAAAAAAAAAUAAUAAAUAAUAAAAAACAUUAUUUUGAUUCAGCUAGUUGCCAGUCACCAUUUCUGAGCUUCAUUUAAAGUUGAAGUACUCCAAUAUAAAUAAAACACUGAAAUAAAUUACAAAAUUAAUUAAUAAAAUGAAAAUAAAAACUAAUAAAAAUGACAAAAACAAACAACAAAAUGACUCAAGUAAAAUUAAAACAGAAAAAAAUCUAUUUAAAAAUAUUAACAAAAACUGUAUAUCAAUUAUACUAAAAUAACAUUGCAUAAAAUAUAUGGCAUUUAAUAAUAUGCCUUACCUAUUUAUAAGGAUAAUAACAAUAAACAAAUGAUCAGUCAUGUAGUUAUACUUGUGUUUAUUUAAUAUAAUUGUUUUGCUUUAUAAAACAGCUCAGUAAACAAGGUAAGUCAAUUAUAUUUUAGUAUUUGCCAGUUACUUUGUCUAUCUUUGCUCCUCCAAAAUAGUUCCAAUCAAUUUCGAAGCAGAUCUGCAUCUCUGAGCAUAGUAGUGGUAUUUGUUCCUUAAUGAAUCAUCAUUUUUGAAUAAACUGGUUGAGUGAUCGAUUCAGUGACUCUGUACACAUAGUCUAUAUAUACUAAUAUAAAUUUUUACUUACUAUACAUUUCAUGAGCAAAAGGAUGUUUUUGGAAAAC